AUGAAAAUGAUCCACUGUUUGAGAUUUAGCUAUUUUGUAUAAUAAUAUUUUUAUAAUAUAUAUUUAAAUGUAUAUUCUUCGUGUUAACAUUAAGGUCGAAUAAGCACAAACUGAUGAUGAUAAUAUGAUAAAUUACUGUAGUUUGGUAAGACAUCAUGCAGCUAGGCAUGUGGCUACAAUGAGUGCCGUUACCGAGUGUUUAUUUGUAAACAAUAACUUCAUCUAACUAAAAUUACCACGGUUACUAGACAGAUAACAAGAUACGAUUCUAGAGUUAGCACAUAAUAUUUCUUUAAUAUGGCCAAAUCAAUAAACAAAUUGUACAUAAAGGAAUGUGCAUGCACAAUCUGUUGCCUGGCCCCAUCGUCCAGGCUGCACUCUGGAGUACUUGCAAUUGGGACCAACAAACCCAUAAGGGACCCUUAUUUAAAGCCUAUAUGGAACCCACAUUGGCCUCACCAUUUAAUGUUGGCUGCUCUCUCUCUCUCUCUCUCUCUCUCUCUCUCUCUUCUGCUCCCUCGCUCUCUUUUACACACAUACACAUAAAUACACAUUACCAGAACAUAGAACCAAGGAAUAUUGCCCUUAAUGAACAACAAAAUGCAACCAUAUAAAAAAAUCCCAUCUGAUGACCUCAUGACAAACAGGUAGAACUUUCAACUAUCAUAAGUUUAGCUAUUAAAAAAACAAGAAAUCUAAUGAGUAUUUUAUUUUAUGUUGUUCUUGUUACAUUACAUGUACUUACUAUAAUAAUAACAAUACAUUAUUCAUCAGAGAAGGAAGAGUAUGUGUAAGAGAUGGUAGGAGAUAGAAGCAAGAAAAUGACGAAGAUCAAAUCCUUGGAGGCGGUUUCUUAGAGGCUAUGUCUACCACAAGCAUGCAGCCCCUCAGCUCUGCCCCUCCAUCCCUAUAGGCAAAAGUACACAAGCUGCGUAGGGCCCCCGAGACACCAGGGGGACCCCUUGCUCUCAAAGAUGAUAUGGAAACAAAGACAUUCUCAGUGGUAGAAUUUGCAGAUGACAAUUCUGUGGAAAUUGUCCCAACCACAUGGCUGGAGGAAACCACCAAAGGAACCAUUUGCUUUUGGACGUUUUUGAACACAAGGCAGCUGGUGAGAAAUAAAGCAUUGCUUGACAAGCAAAAGUGGAGGGCGGUUAUCAUUAAAGAAAAUUUGGCUACAAACAGACUCGUAUACCAAAGCCUUGCAAAAAUGCCAGCUUGUCACAGAAACAUCUAAUAUCGAAACAGAGGACACAACACAUAAAAAGAGGGCACACAAAAAGUCUUGGCGAUAUCAGUCAGAAUCAGGAAUCUCCUCAGAAGAUGAAAGCAGAGUUAUAAAGAAAAAAAAGUGUCAAAACCUGUUCCACCUAAAUAUCAGCCACUUCCCAAAACUUAUCCUGAAUACAAGGACAAUCGAGAAAAGCCAAGUUCUCCGGAUUUAUUCUCAGAGGCAUCAUUGCCACAGUUCUCACUGCAGAAUGUGUCACCACCCCAACAAGUUUCAGCAGUGUCACAUCUGUUAAGAGAGCCAGAGUCCUCAUCUGAUGAAGCCACAAAGAACUACCGCACAAAAGUCUUACAGAAGUUGCAAGAACUCUGUGAGAACCAGCAAGAUAUCCUUGCUAUGCAACGGAAAAUUCUGGCUGCUGUGGCUGGUAGGGGUACUCCAGGACAGGUUUGAGAAUCAGUGCUCUACGGCAGGGGUGUCCAAUCCUGCUUCUGGAGGGCCACUUUAUUUUAGCUCCUACCCUAAUUAAGCACACCUGAACCAGCUAAUCAAGGUCUUACUAUGAAUACUAGAAAGACGUGUGUUGAGUCAAGUUGGAGUUAAACUCUGCAGGAAAGUGGCCUCCAGAACCGAGUUUGAACAUUCCUGAUCUGCAGGUUUUCUGUAGGCCUUAAAAAGGUCUUAAAGCGGAGGAUCACCCCUGCCCUUUUUAUCGCCAACGGUGAACUACCUACGGUCAAUCGGGGGUUCGAAUCCAGGAGCAGCUGUUCGGAAAAUGCUGCGUAAGGUGGCAACCAAUGAGGUCCUGGGUGCAUACAGCCUUCGGGGGAAGAAAUCAAAACUAGCCUUCCAAGACCUCAGGAUUUGUUCCAUUAUUAUAGGAGCAACACAGAAGACUUUUAAAUCACUGAAUUCAGUUGAGGUGGAGGAUCGGAUUUCACUGGCCCUAAAAUUUGCCCCCCACAGGAAUUGAAAAUGAUGACUGAGGCAGAAGAAGAGAAAGACGAGUACAGAGGAAAAUGAUUAUAAACAUUUUGUAGUUAGCUAGUAGUAAUUUAUAGUUAUAGGUAAUUUAGUUAAUUUAUUUGUUCAUGCUACAUGCUUGCUUUUGUGUGUGUUUUUUAUAUAUAUUGAUAAUUAAAUGUAUUGGAAUUCGACAAUAAAACUAUGGAUAUGAA